CCUACGGGAGGCUGCAGUGGGGAAUAUUGGGCAAUGGGCGCAAGCCUGACCCAGCAACGCCGCGUGAAGGAAGAAGGCUUUCGGGUUGUAAACUUCUUUUAAGAGGGAAGAGCAGAAGACGGUACCUCUUGAAUAAGCCACGGCUAACUACGUGCCAGCAGCCGCGGUAAUACGUCGGUGGCAAGCUUUGUCCGGAUUUACUGGGUGUAAAGGGCGUGUAGCCGGGCUGACAGGUCAGAUGUGAAAUCCCGUGGCUCAACCCCGGAACUGCAUUUGAAACUGUCGGUCUUGAGUAUCGGAGAGGCAGGCGGAAUUCCUAGUGUAGCGGUGAAAUGCGUAGAUAUUAGGAGGAACACCAGUGGCGAAGGCGGCCUGCUGGACGACAACUGACGGUGAGGCGCGAAAGCGUGGGGAGCAAACAGGAUUAGAUACCCUAGUAGUC
rnacentral:rRNA from 1 species